UACAGGGGGUGCAAACGUUGCUCGGAAUCAUUGGGCGUAAAGCGCACGUAGGCGGUUCGUUAUGUCGGAUGUGAAAGCCCUUGGCUUAACCGAGGAAGUGCAUCCGAAACUGGCGAGCUAGAGUACGAAAGAGGAUCGCGGAAUUCCCGGUGUAGAGGUGAAAUUCGUAGAUAUCGGGAGGAACACCGGUGGCGAAGGCGGCGAUCUGGGUAGAUACUGACGCUGAGGUGCGAAAGCGUGGGGAGCAAACAGG
rnacentral:rRNA from 1 species